UCGCUAAUGGAGCCCGAGUCUAGUGUGUUUAUCGGUUAACUGUUAUUUGGCCUGUUUUACAGUUUUAAAUGCAGUAUGAGGUUUGAUGUUUUCAUUUUAUAGUUUCGUUUGCAUAUUGUACUGUUUUAUUGAUUAUGGAUUGAAUGACUGGGAUAUUGAUGUUGUAUCUUGUCUGUUUGGCAUAAAUUACUGUUUUGCU
rnacentral:lncRNA from 1 species